AGUGAACGCUGGCGGUAGGCCUAACACAUGCAAGUCGAACGGCAGCACAGUAAGAGCUUGCUCUUACGGGUGGCGAGUGGCGGACGGGUGAGGAAUACAUCGGAAUCUACUUUUUCGUGGGGGAUAACGUAGGGAAACUUACGCUAAUACCGCAUACGACCUACGGGUGAAAGCAGGGGAUCUUCGGACCUUGCGCGAUUGAAUGAGCCGAUGUCGGAUUAGCUAGUUGGCGGGGUAAAGGCCCACCAAGGCGACGAUCCGUAGCUGGUCUGAGAGGAUGAUCGGCCACACUGGAACUGAGACACGGUCCAGACUCCUCCGGGAGGCAGCAGUGGGGAAUAUUGGACAAUGGGCGCAAGCCUGAUCCAGCCAUACCGCGUGGGUGAAGAAGGCCUUCGGGUUGUAAAGCCCUUUUGUUGGGAAAGAAAAGCAGCAGGUUAAUACCCCGCUGUUCUGACGGUACCCAAAGAAUAAGCACCGGCUAACUUCGUG
rnacentral:rRNA from 1 species